rnacentral:rRNA from 1 species
AAAGGGUUCGUAGGCGGGAGUGUAAGUUGGAUGUGAAAACCCUGGGCUCAACCUGGGACGUGCAUCCAAAACUGCGUUUCUUGAAUAUUAGAGAGGGUCGUGGAAUUGCUGGUGUAGGAGUGACAUCCGUAGAGAUCAGCAGGAACACCGGAGGCGAAAGCGACGACCUGGCUACAUAUUGACGCUGAGGAACGAAAGCGUGGGGAGCAAACAGGAUUAGAUACCCGUGU